GACGAACGCUGGCGGCGUGCUUAACACAUGCAAUUCGAACGAAGUGGCGAACGGGUGAGUAACGCGUAAUCAACCUGCCCUUCAGAGGGGGACAACAGUUGGAAACGACUGCUAAUACCGCAUACUGAAGGAGGGGAUUGCGUCUGGUGAGCUGGUUGGAGGGGGAAAGGCGCACCAAGGCGAUGUUCAGUAGCCGGGUGGAGAGGAUGAAGGGCAACAGUGGGACUGAGACACGGCCCAGACUCCUACGGGAGGCAGCAGUGGGGAAUCUGCCGAAAUGGGCGAAAGUCUGACGAAGCAACGCCGCGUGAGGGAUGACGGCCUUCGGGUUGUAAAGCUCUGUUAAUCGGGACGCGGUACCGGAAUAGAAAGCCACGGCUAACUACGUGCCAGCCGCCGCGGUAAUAC
rnacentral:rRNA from 1 species